rnacentral:rRNA from 1 species
AGAGCGAACGCUGGCGGCAGGCCUAAUACAUGCAAGUCGAACGCACCUUCGGGUGAGUGGCGGACGGGUGAGUAACACGUGGGAACGUGCCUUUUGGUUCGGAAUAAUCCGGGGAAACCUGGCCUAAUACCGGAUGUGCCCUUCGGGGGAAAGAUUUAUCGCCAUUAGAGCGGCCCGCGUCUGAUUAGCUUGUUGGUGGGGUAAUGGCCCACCAAGGCUACGAUCAGUAGCUGGUCUGAGAGGAUGAUCAGCCACACUGGGACUGAGACACGGCCCAGACUCCUACGGGAGGCAGCAGUAGGGAAUCUUGCGCAAUGGGCGAAAGCCUGACGCAGCCAUGCCGCGUGAAUGAUGAAGGUCUUAGGAUUGUAAAAUUCUUUCAGCGGGGAAGAUAAUGACUGUACCGCAGAAGAAGCUCCGGCUAACUUCGCGCCAGCAGCCGC